CAUGAGAAAAGAUCUGUGAGAUUUAGAUCACCGGGACAAAUCGAACAUGCAUAUAUAUUGAUACGCAUGUUUGAUUCAUCAAGAAGAUUCAUUGCUUUUGAUUUCAAAUUCGAAUUAAACGACGGUGUCAUCGUGCGCUUUCGAUUUCGUAGACGACUUUCCACGUUGAUGGGAACGACCGCGUUUCGAGGAUAUCGACAGCACCAAGGGCACUUUCCCCUCACGUGCAUGCGUGAGCACGUGCGUGCGUAAGAAUUUAAUGGAUGCUGAUUUACGAGAAAGUGCGGCAAUACGCAGAUACGAUCUCUCAGCGAAGAAUUUUUUUUUUCUAUUGCUGCAACAGCGCCAGGAUGUGGCAUUCAAUUUCAAUUCGCUACUUGUUAAAAGUCCGAGUCCAGGAGAGGUCCAAGGUGUUUCCUCGGUGUUUCGAAAACGAUGUUUCGAAUUUCGUCAGUGUGAAAUAUCAUCAAUAAAUGUAAGUAUCUCGGACAUUCAUUUAUCACGCCAUAUUGUCACGACUCGGGCAAUUAGAAACUGGCUUUCCAAGUGCGUACUUAUGUACCACAUGACCGUUCGACAAUUAUUAUGGAAAGCACUCGAGCUCGUGAAGCGCGUCAUUGUCCGUCACGACCGAAAUGGCCUUAGCCGAACGUGAAACCGCCGUCCGAGUUUUACGCACUUAGAAAGUAACACGCUUUCCUCGCACCUGCUCUCCGACGGCGCGAGUGAGAUCGAUUCUCGAGAUCUCAUUCAAACUUGACCAGCGAUAUUCAAACCGCGGACCGUUUGGCGAAUCUCUUUUCGCCGUCACCGUCGUCACUUUCGGAUGAUUUAUUUCAUCUUUCCGAAGUGGACGCGCGAGUGGACGUGAAAUGCGAGUCCAGGUGAGAGAUCGGAUUUUCUCAUCGGUUUCGAAACGAUUUCGAUUAUUCGACAGGUGCGAGCCCUGAUAGCACAUGUUCUCCUGGGGACGUCCUAAGAACGUCCCUGAGGAUGAAGAAACAUCCCCAGGACGUACUCAAGACAUCUGUACUAUCAGGGAGUAAUAUGAAAAUAAUCGACGGACGAAUAUAAUAUUUAUCGAUGCAAUUGUCGUUAUCGCAGUCGUAUCCUUUUGGCAAAAAUUAUGUGAAGUAGAGAACGAUGACAAGCGAACGCAUGCACACGGAAGCUGCGCGAAUUACGUCGUCGAGACGGGACGUCAUUGUCAAUCAAACAAUGAUCCUCCACGUGAAAGGGGAGUAGAAUCGCUAAACACACCGAAAGGGCAAUGAGCGAUGAGUUACGUAAGUAAAACAUAGGUCAUAGGUAACUCACUAUUUUCCACGUAAUAACGCGCCUUGCGUAACGCCAUUUUUCCUCGAGAUCCGAGAACUCGACUGCAUGCUGCACGCGUGUCUCUACGCGCGAUUUGUAGAUAACUUCACGCGAGAGACAUCGUCGAUUAUACGUGGAGAGGAACGAAUUGAGAUAAUUAAGUUGCAAAAGUAUGCGCGUGUUAGCUGCAACUGGAGAUUAAAUUUAGGAAACAAUCUCCGGCAUGACGUUCGCUCGAACGUUUCGUCGAUGCUCGAUCGACAUCGAGCAGGAAAGCCGUAUACCGAUAUAUCCGGAAAUUCGUGCUAAUGUUGCAUAAAAAUGGCGCGCUUAUUGGCCAAUCGAUAAUCGCAACGCGAGGCGGGAAAGUGUCGCGUUUAACGAACGUCCUGUCCGCUCGCAGCCAGUUUUGUCGGUUGAAGUUCCCCGGCGGCGAUUAAUCCGAUCAGAGUGAAAGUGAGAGGUCGCAUGGAAAAAUGACGUGUAUCGGAUUCGACGGUAUAUAUAGGACGUAAUAACCGUGUUGUAAGGUUCAGUAAAAGAACGCGCUCCGGUUCUCCUUGAGGGAUCGCGCGAAAACCCUAUGAUCGUAGCGACGAAUCGAUUCUAAAUAAUCGUUUUUACUCCGUUUAUCGAUCGGUUUCUCCGAUUUCGCUGUCAGGAAAAUUGCAGAAACUUUCUCUUUCAAUAAGAUCGUUCAAAUGAUCACUAUUCUCAAAGAGCUUUCGUUUCGUAGCAAAAUUGACUUACACGAUAACGUCGUCGCAUCGCAUCUUCGAUGGAGAAAAAAAAGUCACUCUUAUGGAAGCAGAACGAUCGAAACUGCAAGCAGCAGAAACAAUUUCAGAUUCACAGUAGAGGAUAGCACAACAUGAAAGAAAGGAGUGGAAAGUGUGGUAAAUGUCGAUAUUUACAGUCCAGAUAGCGUAUACAGAAAAAAAGAUAUUAUACACAGAAAGUGGAAUUGGUUUGGAAAGUAUGUAUGUAAUUAGUUAUAUCUUUUACAUUAUACAUAAUCAUCUAUUUAUUGAAAUGACCGUUACGUAUAUGAAAAGGGCGUUCUCUUCGCGGUAGCCAGCUUUCCGCCUGCCGCGAAAAGAAAGCAAUAUUGCAUAAUGAAUAAAGAGAUAGUUGUCUGGCGACUAGCAGAGGCAGUUGUAUAGUAUAACACGCAUAACUCGCGCGAGUCGACCGGUCAGCUAAAGGAAAACUGGAGCAGCCGCCAUCGAGCGACAUUUUUGCAGAAUUCCGGGCAUGCGAGACACGACACGCUGGUCAUUGCGACUUCUGGCAUUUUCGCGUCGCUAUUAACAGAUCUCGAUUGAUUCUGCAACAGGGUGGUCUCAGAAAAAGCAUGCAAUUGUUUCGACGUGCAUUGAGUUUAUCUGUGAAACUUUUCAUGCUUCGUACGAAGUCACCAAUUAUAGAAAAAGGCAUUCUAUGAAAUACGGUCUCUCGUUGAGGCUGACUGAACAAAAAAAGUUAUAAAAAGGAAUGGCUAUUGUAUAUUGUGCAUCAAGGUUAUCAACUUUGUAGGGUGAAUGUGGCAAUUUAAACAAAUCGCGGCCGCCGCUGCUUCAGCGAGUUCUUUAUCUUGAAAAAACGAAAUCACGCUCUUGGUACGCUGUGUGAGAUACGGUUCCUUACACUCUGUACGCUCAACGUGAAACUAUCAUAUAUAAAUAGGUUCUCUCCGCGAUAUUUUAAUCAAGCUGAUCGACAUGCGUGCGAAAAACGUAAAUACGAAGAGAAAAAUUCAAACUGGUGCAACGGCAAGUUACAGAAGUACUUUCUCUCCGGUAGUAACAUUGUUUUGUGCCAAAGGCCUGCAAAUAAAGGGUGGGGAGCGCCGUCAGUCUCGAGAGCUUUAUGAAAUUAACUCGGUCACGCACGGUGGAACAGGAAUUAUGACACGUGCCUAGCAAGCAGCCGGCGAGAACCGGUUGGCGCCCCGCGAAUACAUUCGUGAGCUUGUAGAAUUGCGAGAGAGAAGGAAGUCGAUCAUUUAAAUCGUACCGCAUAAAUCUCGAUAGUACAGUCAUUAACCCGAGAAUACUGGUCGCAUUCUUAUAAUGCUCUAGUCGAGCGUUAAAUUUCAGUCAUUCCAGAAAAGAAAAAGGCGGACACGGAUUGUUGGAAAUGUUCCUGAGGCGGUAAAAGUGGAUUGAUCCAAAGAUAAUACUAAUGAAGUAACUUAAUAUUUUGUUUCAGAACCUGAAAACAUUUGGUUUUAAUUCUGAAACUUUCUAGAAGAGAAAGUAAAGAAGAAGUUUGAAAGAAAAGUUGUAGAUUUCUCUUUGGAAUAUUAAACUAGAAUAUUCCAACAAGACACAAAGCGACGAGUAUAAUGACGGGAUAAGUGAUAAACAGCGAAGAGAAACAAACAAUGGUCGAUCAGGCACAAUGCGACGACGACAGUAGGACGUGGAAGGUCCUUUGGUCCUUCAGGGAGCACUUCACUGACGUACAAGUCUCUCACUGAUUGCUGUUUUAAGGC